rnacentral:rRNA from 1 species
CCUACGGGAGGCAGCAGGGAGGAAUAUUGGUCAAUGGGCGGGAGCCUGAACCAGCCAAGCCGCGUGAGGGAAGAAGGUACAGCGUAUCGUAAACCUCUUUUGUCAGGGAACAAAGGCGGGGACUAGUCCCCGGAUGAGGGUACCUGAAGGAAACGCAUCGGCUAACUCCGUGCCAGCAGCCGCGGUAAGACGGAGGAUGCGAGCGUUAACCGGAUUUAGUGGGGUUAAAGGGUGCGCAGGCGGCCGGUUAAGUCAGCGGUAAAAGCCCGGGGCUCAGCCCCGGCGAGCCGUUGAAACUGGCGGGCUGGAGUUGGAGAGAAGUACGCGGAAUGCGCGGUGUAGCGGUGAAAUGCUUAGAUAUCGCGCAGAACCCCGAUUGCGAAGGCAGCGUACCGGCUCCACACUGACGCUGAGGCACGAAAGCGUGGGUAUCGAACAGGAUUAGAUACCCGUGUAGUC